AUUGAACGCUGGCGGUAUGCCUUACACAUGCAAGUCGCACGGUAGAGGGGCAACCCUUGAGAGUGGCGCACGGGUGAGUAAUACAUCGGGACGUGCACAGUCGCGGGGAUCACGUAGCGAAAGCUACGCUAAUACCGCAUACGAUCUACGGUUGAAAGAGGGGGAUCGCAAGACCUCGCGCGAAUGGAGCGGCCGGUGUCAGAUUAGGUAGUUGGUGGGGUAAAGGCUCACGAAGCCAACGAUCUGUGACUGGUCUGAGAGGACCACCAGCCACACUGGGACUGAGACACGGCCCAGACUCCUACGGGAGGCAGCAGGGGGGAAUUUUGGACAAUGGGCGCAAGCCUGAUCCAGCCAUUCCGCGUGCAGGAUGAAGGCCUUCGGGUUGUAAACUGCUUUUGUACGGAACGAAACGGCUCUCUCUAAUACAGGGGGCUAAUGACGGUACCGUAAGAAUAAGCACCGGCUAACUACGUGCCAGCCGCCGCCGUAAAAC
rnacentral:rRNA from 1 species